rnacentral:misc_RNA from 1 species
GAAUUGAGAAAUAGUUCGACCUGUUUAUCAAGAUUCGCCAAGGGCACGUACGAGGCCGCAGCCCGCGGCGUGUCACGUCGGAGAAUACUUUCUGCAACUUCCGGUCCUUCCUACAUCAUGCAUUGCAUGCAGUAAGGCUGAUGUUAAUAAACGUUAAUGACCAAAUAAUCAGCAACUAAAAUAUAUGUCAGAAUGUGCUUGAUUAAAUGUCGCAAAUAAUUAUUUUAAUCGAAAAUUAUGGAUAAUACAAAGUAUUAUAUUUGUUUCAGACCAGGGCUAGAAGGAUUAGUUGCAUCCACUGCGACCAUUUGGGGUUCAUCUCCCAAAAUUAGUGCGAACUCUCUCAAAAAAGGUAAAAGGGAGGCA